rnacentral:rRNA from 1 species
AUUGAACGCUGGCGGCAUGCCUUACACAUGCAAGUCGAACGGUAACGCGGGGCAACCUGGCGACGAGUGGCGAACGGGUGAGUAACGCAUCGGAACGUGCCCAAUAGUGGGGGAUAGCCCGGCGAAAGCCGGAUUAAUACCGCAUACGACCUACGGGUGAAAGCAGGGGAUCGCAAGACCUUGCGCUAAUGGAGCGGCCGAUGUCAGAGUAGGUUGUUGGUGGGGUAAAAGCCCACCAAGCCGACGAUCUGUAGCUGGUCUGAGAGGACGACCAGCCACACUGGGACUGAGACACGGCCCAGACUCCUACGGGAGGCAGCAGUGGGGAAUUUUGGACAAUGGGCGCAAGCCUGAUCCAGCCAUGCCGCGUGCGGGAUGAAGGCCUUCGGGUUGUAAACCGCUUUUGUUAGGGAAGAAAUCUUUUGAGCUAAUACCUCGGAAGGAUGACGGUACCUAAAGAAUAAGCACCGGCUAACUACGUGCCAGCAGCCGCCGUAAGAC